UGGGGAAUAUUGCGCAAUGGGCGAAAGCCUGACGCAGCGACGCCGCGUAUGGGAAGAAGGUUUUCGGAUUGUAAACCAUUUUAGACAAGGAAGAAAAAAGACAGUACUUGUAGAAUAAGCUCCGGCUAACUACGUGCCAGCAGCCGCGGUAAUACGUAGGGAGCAAGCGUUAUCCGGAUUUACUGGGUGUAAAGGGAGCGUAGGCGGCGAUGCAAGUCAGAAGUGAAAGCCCGGGGCUCAACUCCGGGACUGCUUUUGAAACUGUGUUGCUAGAUUGCAGGAGAGAUAAGUGGAAUUCCUAGUGUAGCGGUGAAAUGCGUAGAUAUUAGGAGGAACACCAGUGGCGAAGGCGGCUUACUGGACUGUAAAUGACGCUGAGGCUCGAAAGCGUGGGGAGCAAACAGGAUUAGAUACCC
rnacentral:rRNA from 1 species